GGUUUUAUGUUAAAAUAAUUUCAACAGGUUAAAGGCGGUGGCUAAUCCAACACGGAAGGAGUUGAUGCCUAUGAGCGUUUGUUCGUAGACUUCAAAAUCUUAUGAAAGGAGGAUUAGCUGAUAAUGUCUGUUCACGACGCGCUAACAUUGAUGUUAGCGUUCGGUGGCUUCGUGUUGGCUUUGUUGACGUACGUCGA
rnacentral:sRNA from 1 species